rnacentral:rRNA from 1 species
GGAGAGAAUAAGAAAAAUAAUUUUCGUAAUUUUAGUAAUUUUUAAUGAAAAUAAAGUAAAGACUAAAGAGAAAAGUACUGUGAAGGAAAGUUGUUAAAACUUUUUAUAGAAGAAGUAAAAUUUUGUGCCUCGUGUAUCAGAAAAAGUUUAUAUAGUUUAGUUACAAUAAGUAUCUCGAAAUAAAAUACAGUAAUUUUUAUAAAAUUUUCUUUUUAGAAAAAAAGAAUUUAAUAUAAAAUUUAAAGUGAAAUGCUAGCUGAGUUUUAUGAUAUCUAGUUUUUUUAAAAAUAAAUUUAAUUUAAUUUUUAUAAAGAAAAAGUUAUAAAAUUAAAUGGUAGGGGGGAUUAGCUCUUUACGGAAAAGAUAAUGAAAUAGUUAAAUAAAAGUAAAUUAUAUAUAAAUUAGGCUUAGAAGUAGCUAUAUUGAAAAAGUGUUUUAACUAAAUUAUAAUUGCUUGAAUAUUUAAAAUAAAACUUUUCUCAGGUAUAAAAAAAUGGCUUAAACAAAACAAAACAAGAUAUGAUGAUUUUAUUAGUAAAAUUUAUUGAGUAAAUAAAGAUAUUAAAAGGUAAAAAUUGUUUAAAAAAAUAAGUA